AACGCACGAGACCUGCGGACCUGCGGAGGGAUCAUUAUAGAGUUUUCUAACUCCCAAACCCAUGUGAACUUACCUUUGUUGCCUCGGCGGAGCCUACCCGGUACCUACCCUGUAGCGCCCCGCCGGUGGACUUCUAAACUAUUGUUAUUUUAAUGAUAUCUGAGAGUCUUAUUUUAAUAAGUCAAAACUUUUAACAACGGAUCUCU
rnacentral:misc_RNA from 1 species